UGCAAGAAAUCUUGAAAGAAGAAUUCUAGAAGUUAACAGAAAAAGGGUCAAAGUUGUUAAACUUGGUUCUAAGACUUCAUUUCCCAAUACUGAAAUUCGUGGAACCUAUGCCCCUCCUUUUCAUGUUGAGCUAUACCGGAACGACCCGCACCGAUUCAAGA